UGCCAGCCGCCGCGGUAAUACGGAGGGAGCGAGCGUUAAUCGGAAUUACUGGGCGUAAAGCGCGCGUAGGCGGUUUCGUAAGUCGGAUGUGAAAGCCCUGGGCUUAACCUGGGAAUGGCAUUCGAUACUGCGUAACUAGAGUAUGGUAGAGGGAAGUGGAAUUUCCGGUGUAGCGGUGAAAUGCGUAGAUAUCGGAAGGAACACCAGUGGCGAAGGCGGCUUACUGGACCGGUACUGACGCUGAGGUACGAAAGCGUGGGGAGCGAACAGGAUUAGAUA
rnacentral:rRNA from 1 species